UCUUCUCUCUGCCACCGCCUUACUCCCUUCAACCCCGGCGGCUACUGCCGCCGCCAGCCACCACCGCCACGGUAUCCCCUCUGUAUGCCUCGCAUCUGCCUCCCUCUCGUUCCUUCUCUAAAUCAUGAAAAAUCCCCAAAAAUCCCUAGCUUCCUCCCCCAACAAUUUCCGGCGAUAUUACCGCCUGAACCACCCAUUUCUUCUUCAGUCGACAGCAGCGGUCAGCCGGACCGUCGUCGUCCUCGCCUCCCUCAUCUCUCAAGCCCCUAUAAAGAUUCGAUUUUUCCUCUUUCCCUUCCAUUUGAAAUCCCUCCAAUCCCAGCGGCGCCUGUCCUAGAACCCUAGCCUCCCUGACCCCGGCAACCGCCUCCUUCCACCCCGGCGUCCAACCGCCCUUCACCCCGGCGCAGCGCAGCCACAGCUUCUCCAUCACUUGACGGGUUUUUCUAAAGCCAAAAUCAAACACUCACAUUAGUUUGUUUGAUUUUUUGUUUCUCUGCUCGGAGGUGUUCUCUGUGCAAAAUCAGAUCAGAAAUUCAAUUGCUCAGAGGUGAUUCUAGCAACUCUGCUCGGAGGUGUUGAUCUCAGUAUUGUAGGUGCUCUUUUCUGGAAACUAUUUUGCUUCUAAUAGAAAUUUACUUUAAGAUAAAUUCCAUAAAUAUUUCCAAGUCUAUUGCAUAUUUGUCUCCUAUGAAUCGCUCUUAGGAAAAUAACGUAAUCGUUCUUCUCUUUCACUCAUCUUUAUUGUGACUGUGAGUCAUUUUCUUCGUGGUUUAUUGCAGUAUAUCAAGUUACCAGAUAAUUGUGUUAAUUGAUAAGAUAUAUCUGCUGUGAUAUGCAAUAUGUGUAAAUGAAAACAGGCACGCGAGAAAGAUAAGCAAUAACCUGAUAAUUGUGUUAAUUGAUGAGUCUUAAUAUAAACAGAAGAGUUGUUAUCCAUGUACAGAAUCUAUUUGCUUAUAUAUGCAACAGAUUUGAAUUUCAAGUGUUUAAUUUUGGCCCAGCUGACACCGGUUGUCUUGUUUUCAUAAUGCAAAUUGCUCAUUAGCUUAUCCUAUCUGCACUAUAAUAUCUUUUCCUAGACUAAGAUGAUUGUUCUUCCUUAAUUUCUUGUUAGAGGAGUUUGAAGUUGUUAUCUGACAGCCAAGUUCUGGUAUGUGUCACGUGACAAAUUGGUAUAAGAAGUUUUAUAUUGAUAGGAAACAUUAGUUCUAUAUUUCUCUACAGAAAAGGACAAGCAUUAAUUAGAUUUUAAAUAAUUUAUGUGCAUUAAUCUAUUGCUCAAUUAGCCUUGAUUACAUAUUUUCAUUAACUUGUAGGAAGAUGGCUGGUGGGAUUAGUUUCAUGACAUGUUAUGCACGAACUGAAGUCAUGCAGAACAAGUAGGUGAUAAUUUAGUGCAGAUGACCAUAACUAACAGGUGUUCAUGUAUUUUACAAUGGCUUCUGUAAACUCUUCUCUGUUUUAUUUUUCAGCCGCAGGACUUAUGGGCUUCUCUUUGAUUGGAUUUAUCCCAAUCUGCCUCACCUUCUCCCAGUCCGCCGCGCCCUUCUCCAUGGUCUGCCGUGCCUCCGUCCAGUCCCCUCAGUCCGCCGCGUCCAGUCACCUUAUUGUAGGAAUUUUGAGUCACACUCGUUUAUUUUUUAUGAUUGAUUUUCUUUGUUGUCACUUGUCCUUUUAGAGUUCUAUUUGCCUAUUGUCCUCAGACUACUUGCUCUUAUUUGUUUAUAGUUUUUUUAGUUUACACUAAUUGUUAUUGUCAAUUGAUAUAUUGUAAAUGUAGGCUUGAGAGAAGGAGAUGAAGAAACUUAAAACUACGAAAAAAAAAUAGCAGCAGCAAAAUCUUCAGGUGCUAGUUUACUUCAUUUUGACAUAAACCAGUACAAAUAUGUUGCUUAGUAUAUUAAUCCUAUUUGGACAUGAUUCUGACUAAUUUUGAGCAUUAAUGAUAAAAUGAUUCAUCAUUUUCUAUAUCUUACUUUUGGAGACCCCUUGGAGAUGGAGGUGUUAAUUAAGUUCUAACACAUAAAUUUUAAGUCACCACUUGUUUUGUUAUAAAAUAGUGUCGUAAAUGCAAGUUUUGUAGUUGACUUGACUUUGUAUUUGUCUUGCUAAAAAGUGUAGCUAAGUUGAGCACGAUAACUCUCAUUCUUGAAAAAAAGUUUGCCAGUGUUUGAUUAAAAGAUAGACUCUUACUUAAUUGUUUAACUUCAUAUUGUAUGAAUUUGCUGCUCCUUUGAACUUCUGAAAUUGGUGUUUUUCUUUAACUCUUUGUGUGUUCUAAGUUUCUCUCUGCAUUUGUUUGUGUAGUCCUUGAUGAAUGAU
rnacentral:lncRNA from 1 species